rnacentral:misc_RNA from 1 species
GAUGAAGAACGUAGCGAAAUGCGAUAAGUAAUGUGAAUUGCAGAAUUCAGUGAAUCAUCGAAUCUUUGAACGCACCUUGCGCCCUUUGGCUAUUCCGAAGGGCAUGCCUGUUUGAGUAUCGUGAACACCUCAACUCUCAUGGUCUGCCAUGAUGAGCUUGGACUUUGGGGGUCUUGCCGGCCUAGCGUCGGCUCCUCUCAAAUGGAUCAGCUUGCCAGUGUUUGGUGGCAUCACAGGUGUGAUAACUAUCUACGCUUGUGGUUUUCUACCAUGUAACCUUCAGCGAUGGAGGUUUGCUGGGGCUCACAGACGUCUCUCCUUGGAGGACAGCUUUUUGAACGUUUGAUCUCAAAUCAGGUAGGACUACCCGCUGAACUUAAGCAUAUCAAUAAGCGGAGGA